rnacentral:RNase_P_RNA from 1 species
UAAGCAAGCCGUUUGGCUGCAGCCUUUCUAUAAGGCUGAGGAAAGUCCGAGCUCCACAGGGCAGGAUGCCUGAUAACAUCAGGUGGGGGCGACCCCAAGGAAAGUGCAACAGAAAGGAAACCGCCUAUGGGAAACCUAGGCAAGGGUGAAAGGGUGCGGCAAGAGCGCACAGGCGGGCAGGCAACUGUCCGGACAUGUAAACCCCAUCCGGAGCAAGACUAAAAGAGAGCGUUGACAGCGGCCCGCUGAUGCUCAUGGUAAGUCGCUUGAGGGCGCUGGCGACAGCGCUCCUAGAUAGAUGGCCAUUAAAACAGAACUCGGCUUAUGAGCUUGCUUAUUUC